rnacentral:misc_RNA from 1 species
UAUGGCCCUAUCAUUGUCUUGGAAACCCUGUUUGUUGCACCAUCAAGCUAAAAUAGAAGAGCUUGAGUGAACCGGAGCUCUGCACUCUAAUAUGCUUUAUCAUUCAUAUUUCUAUCUCUAUAAGAUAAUUUGGAAUUUGGAUUUAUUGCUUCUGAUAAUGAACCAUAAUGAAGAAAUAUUUGCAAAACUGUUGUGAGCUGCUCAA